UAUACAUCACUUUAAACUGUUAACCUAACUCGUUUUGCAUCAUAUAUAUCUGUCAGGCAAAGGUUAAUAGAGAGUUUAUGAAAUUCGGAAUGCAAUUAAGUCUCACAAGAAUCUCAGUUGGAGGCCAUUCCAGUUUCUAUGGCAACCAAAGGGCUCAGGCAAAAUGUGGGGGGAGGGGAGUUAAUUCAAAGGCAAGAUAAGCACAUAAAUAUAGCUCUUGUCUACCUUUUCUUUCCAGCUCCAACAAGCAUUUUUUGAUGCAUGUAAAGUGUUAUACAGAGGAAAAUAUAAAUCAGAUUGAUUUUUCAUCUCCUAGAAUUAAAUAUACGUUUGCAAAAUGUUUAAAGGUGAUUCCAGUUUUUAAAUAUAUAUCACUUCUCUGAAUAUCCAGUUUAUGAAGCGUGUCAGAGUCAGAUCAUCUCAUGAACUGCUGAUGGCUAUGAAUAUAUAUUUAAGACCUCUGAGACAACAAAGUACACCACAGAGACUACAAUAUCUAUCAAGAAGAUAACAACAAGACACUAGAGUAUCCCCAUGGCCACCACAAAUCAAACCAGCACAGAGAGAGAAAGGCAGAGACACAGGCAGAAGGAGAAGCAGGCUCCAUGCAGGGAGCCCGACGUGGGACUCGAACCCAGGUCUCCAGGAUCCUGCCCUGGACUCAAGCCGGCGCUAAACCAAUGAGCCACCGGAGCUACCCUGUGCAAAGGAAGAACUGGGGAAGCAACCAAGGAACUAAAGAAGAACUAAGAAAUUCAACUAGGAUGGGAGUCAAGAGAUGCCUAUGUUCUAGAUUUAGAGCUAUGUUUCUUGGAAUAUUUUAGUAAAUCCUUCCAAAAUGAAAUUUCAAAAUGUUUUUCUUUCUCUCUAGGUACAUAGUUUCAUUUUAGCUUAGAGGAGAAGACCUUCAAAAAUUUCCUAAGAGGCUUUGAGUAUCAGCUUCUAAUUUGGCCAACUUCUGACCACAGAGCUACUUUAAAAAAAUUCUUUCAAAUAUCUUGCCAGGUUUUAGCUAGAACAAACGCUUCUCUACAAAAAGAAGUUUAAGAAUAACCCUCCAAACUCUGAGUUAUAACAACAUAAUGAUGACAAUCAUGACGAUAAGCUGAAAAAUACCCAAGGCAAAUCCUUUCAAUGAGUCCUCAAUAUCUUUAAAUAUCUUUCAAGUCUCCUAAAAAACUUAGGUCUACUUUGCAGUUAUGAGGACUCCCUGAAUGCCCAACAUGGAGGUUUAAGAGGAAGCAUCUCAGCUAUAACAGACUCAACUAAUGCAGAUGAUGCCUGCCAGCAUCGUUUGCAGAGGCAGGAAGAGAAUGUUGGGAAGAAGAGGUGUGAUCAAGAACCUCAGUGAGAAGAGGUUGUUGCUGUGAGCUCUCUUCCUCACCCAGGAGUCAGAUAUUCUCGACAGUCUGGAUUUUAAAAAGCCACAUAUUAUGAAGAAAGGGCAAGGCUACCUUCAAGAGACAUGAAACUAAAACAGAAAUUGGACGUGGAAAUAUUGUCUGUUCUCACAGUCUGCCAAGGAUUUGCUGCAGACCAAUGUCCAUUUGGUUAUUAGAAGGGAUAAUUCACACUCCUGGGCAGCAGUCCUGAAUCAAGGCCAGUAAUGAGAGAGGAGAGCAUUCUUCAGGCUUCUAGGCACCAGCUGGUAACCUUGUCCAGCCUCACCACAGCAAGGGGCUAGCUUCUUGCUCCUAGAACCCAAGCCUGUCACACAGAUGCCAUCAAAGACAUCUGCGGUGGAGUGCUGCAUACAAUAGAUUUUACAAUCUAGAUGAGUC